rnacentral:tRNA from 1 species
AUUAUCUUGGCAGAUUAGUGCAUUAAAUUUAGAAUUUAAAUAAGAAAUUAUUUAAUUUCAGGUAAUA